GACGAACGCUGGCGGCGUGCUUAACACAUGCAAGUCGAACGGAAAGGCCCUGCUUUUGUGGGGUGCUCGAGUGGCGAACGGGUGAGUAACACGUGAGUAACCUGCCCUUGACUUUGGGAUAACUUCAGGAAACUGGGGCUAAUACCGGAUAGGAGCUCCUGCUGCAUGGUGGGGGUUGGAAAGUUUCGGCGGUUGGGGAUGGACUCGCGGCUUAUCAGCUUGUUGGUGGGGUAGUGGCUUACCAAGGCUUUGACGGGUAGCCGGCCUGAGAGGGUGACCGGCCACAUUGGGACUGAGAUACGGCCCAGACUCCUACGGGAGGCAGCAGUGGGGAAUAUUGCACAAUGGGCGGAAGCCUGAUGCAGCAACGCCGCGUGCGGGAUGACGGCCUUCGGGUUGUAAACCGCUUUCGCCUGUGAUGAAGCGUGAGUGACGGUAAUGGGUUAAGAAGCACCGGCUAACUACGUG
rnacentral:rRNA from 1 species